AAUCAACGCUGGCGGCGUGCCUAACACAUGCAAGUCGAACGCGAAAGGGCUUCGGUCCUGAGUAGAGUGGCGUCCGGGUGAGUAACGCGUGGGUAAUCUACCCUUGGGUGGGGAAUAACCAGUCGAAAGAUUAGGCUAAUACCGCAUAAUGCAGCGGCUCGACAUCGAGACAGUUGUUAAAGCAGCAAUGCGCCAGAGGAGGAGCCUGCGUCUGAUUAGCUUGUUGGCGGGGUAACGGCCCGACCAAGGCUACGAUCAGUAGCUGGUCUGA
rnacentral:rRNA from 1 species